GGACUGUGGUCUGCAACCCGACCACACGAAGCUGGAAUCGCUAGUAAUCGCGAAUCAGAAUGUCGCGGUGAAUACGUUCCCGGGUCUUGUACACACUGCCCGUCACACCAUGGGAGUCAGCAACGCCCGAAGUCAGUGACCUAACCAUAAAGGGAGGAGCUGCCGAAGGCGGGGCCGGUAACUGGGGUGAAGUCGUAACAAGGUACC
rnacentral:rRNA from 1 species